rnacentral:tRNA from 2 species
GGGGGUAUAGCUCAGUGGUAGAGCAUUCGACAUUCCCCGGUUCAAACCCGGGUGCCCCCU